rnacentral:rRNA from 1 species
AGAGUUUGAUCCUGGCUCAGGAUGAACGCUGGCGGUCUGCUUAACACAUGCAAGUCGAACGGAAGUAGCAAUACUUUAGUGGCGGACGGGUGAGUAACGCGUGAGAAUCUACCUUCAGGACGGAGACAACAGUUGGAAACGACUGCUAACCCCCGAUGUACCGCAAGGGCAAAUAUUUAUAGCCUGAAGAAGAGCUCGCGUCCGAUUAGCUAGUUGGGGGGGUAAAAGCCCACCAAGGCGACGAUCGGUAGCUGGUCUGAGAGGACGAUCAGCCACACUGGGACUGAGACACGGCCCAGACUCCUACGGGAGGCAGCAGUGGGGAAUUUUCCGCAAUGGGCGCAAGCCUGACGGAGCAAGACCGCGUGGGGGAGGAAGGCUCUUGGGUUGUAAACCCCUUUUCUCUGGGAAGAACAAAAUGACGGUACCAGAGGAAUCAGCAUCGGCUAACUCCGUGCCAGCAGCCGCGG